AAAAAAAAGAAAGUAUUUUUGGCAAAAAUCAACAAUACGUUGACCUUCCCUCACGAAGAAUGUUACGCAAAAGAGAAAAGUCUGUGUAGAAGAAUUUACUAACAUUAUCUACGCGUUUCAACGACGAACCCAAUCAUUCAUUCAUAUUCCAAUCAAACUUCAUUUUUCUUUCUCUCUUCAUCUCAAAUUUCAAUCUCUCUUUCACCUCUAAACAUCCAACGCCGUUCAUUUUUAUUCUUCUUCUUCUUCUUCUGUUGAAUCUUCUUAUUUUUCAAUUAUUGUUGCUUUACGUCCAAGUUUCUUCGUUAAGGGAGACCAAAUUAAUACGUUACUUUUAUUCUCACAGUGUAACCUACGAUGCUUUAUGAUUUGUCUAAGCUUUUUUGGUGUAUGUAGAAAGAAAAUGAACUUUUACCUAUCUGCUGUUUGAUCUUGUUGAUUUUUAGGGUUGUGGAAUUUUCUUCUUUCUUAUUAGGUUACGCUGUUUUUUAAUUAUUGGCUAUUAGGGUUUUUUUGGGGUUUUGUCUAGGUUAAGUUUGGGAUUGAAAAAAAAGGAUUUUUUUUUGUUUUUAAUUUGUGGGUUGUUCUAGAAUAUAUUAGGUGAUUCGGGGUUUGGUUUGUUUUGAAAGAUUGUGAAUUUAUUAGGUUUUGGGUUGGGAAGGUGAGAUUUUUGAGUUGGGAAUUGGGGUUUGACUGAUGGAUGAAGCUGGAAGUUCAAGUUCCUUGCCUCCUUUUCUGGCAAAGACUUAUGAGAUGGUGGAUGAUCCUUCCUCGGAUCCUAUCGUUUCGUGGAGUAUGAGUAACAAAAGUUUUGUUGUAUGGAAUCCUCCAGAAUUUGCAAGGGUUUUGCUUCCUAGAUUCUUUAAGCACAAUAACUUCUCCAGUUUUAUCAGGCAGCUGAAUACAUAUGGAUUUAGGAAAGUUGAUCCAGAACAAUGGGAGUUUGCCAAUGACGAUUUUAUAAAGGGGCAACCACAUCUUUUGAAGAAUAUUCAUAGACGGAAGCCGGUUCAUAGCCAUUCUCUGCAUAAUCUUCAAGCACAAACGCCUUUAUCAGAGUCUGAAAGGCAAAAUUUGAAUGAUGAAAUAGAGAAGCUGAAACAAGACAGAGAACAACUUGUUACAGAGAUAAAGAGAUACCAACAUGAGUUUCAAACAUAUGAGAUUCAAAUUCAUUGCUCGAAAGAUCGGUUGGAGAAGUUGGAGCAAAAGCAACAGAAGAUGGUGUCUUCUGUUUCUCAAGUACUGCAGAAGCCUGUGAAUGCUGUAAGUCUCUUGUCACUGACAGAAACAAUGGAUAGAAAACGAAGGUUGCCAGCGAGAAGUGGCUGUGUUAAUAAUGAAGCUAGCGUUGAAGAUGCUAUGGAAACUUCUGUAGCUUUGACCGGAGAAAAUGCAGAGGGUUCCUCUAUUUUGACAUUAAACACAGAGAGAUUGGAUCAACUUGAGUCAUCCGUGUUAUUUUGGGAGAUUAUUGCGCAGGAAGUUGCCGACAGCCUGGUUCACACUCAUUCAAACAUUGAUUUUGAUGAAUCUACAAGCUGUGCUGAUAGUUUGUCUAUAUCUUGUCGGCAAAUAGAUGUUGAAGUUCGACCUAAGUCACCUGAAAUUGACAUGAACGCUGAACCAGCUGCUGCUGCUCCUGAGACCGUUGCAUCAAAAGAACAACCAGUGGGUAUCACCACUGCAGCAACUGGGGUUAAUGAUGUAUUUUGGGAACAGUUCUUGACAGAGGAUCCUGGUGCAUCAGAAGCACAGGAAGUACAAUCCGAAAGAAAGGAUAAUAAUAGCAGAAAAAAUGAAGGAAAACCUGGUGAUCACGGAAGAUUUUGGUGGAAUAUGCGGAAAGGAAAUAAUCUUCCAGAACAAAUGGGGAAUGUUGGUCAAGUAGAGAAAAUUUAGUAGCUAUUUAUAAUUUAUUCUGGUUGUGAUGCCUCACAAUUUACAUGUAAUAAAUCUUGGAAAUUAUUACAGGUUCAGGCCUUACUGGUGCUUUGGGUUGGCGGUUCUUGGUAAUAUUUAUUCUUGUAUGAAAAUAAGAACAAAAUAACAAAAGAGUUGGGGUAAUUAUUAUUUGAAUGUCCAUAUAAGUAACUUCAUUAGUAACUGAAGUGCAUUGUUGUGAACAGUUUGAAUAUUUCGUGAGUUUCUGCAUAAUAUCUCAGCUCUCAGGCUUUGGCCCAAGGAUCUUUAGAUAAUUACAUCACAUUUUGAUUCUUAAGUAACUAACAUGUGACAUUUAUUAUGCUACUGUAUGUUCCUGCUUCUGGAACUGAUUUUGGGAAUUAUUCCUAGGAUGAAUAUAAUCUCUAUUCAGCAGUACAGUAGUGUUGGCUUUACUUGUUUUGUGGAUAUUAAUCACUAUUUAAUGUUAAUAUGAUUAUAGAGAGGUGUUUUCUUAACCCAGCUUCAUUUCUUGUCUGAUGCUUAGCUGUCUUUCUGAGAUUUUAAUUUUUUAUUCAUUUUAGACAGUAGUGCUGCAAGUGCAAUGGGUGGUCUAUAUACAUGUCAAAUUUUUUAUUCAUUUUUUUAUUCAGAUUUUUUUAUUCAGAUUUUUUUAUUCACCUAGUCACCCACGAAUGUUUCAAUGGCUCUACUUUUGUAUGUCUUUACAGUUAAGCAGAAGGUCUAAACUUGGGUUGCCUUUAGAAGGCCCAACAACUGUGAGAUGAUCACCCACCGAUACUGUAAAGCAAGAAAAGGCAUGAUUGAGAUAAUGACCUUUGAAACUGUGGCUAAUUUCUAUUUAUUUCUAGAAAUAUUAUCAAGUCAUGGAAGACUUUGAACUUUUGAACUUCCUUUGACAUAAUGAGUAUGACAGGUUUGAAGCUGAACUAUUUUUAAUUAGUCUUUUUACUCUUUUACAGAUUCAAGCCUCAGACCUUUUUAUAGUUUUCUCUACUUUUAAGUCUCACCUCUUGCUUUUAUUGUUUUUCUAAAGUCACCAAAAUAUGCCAUGACUUGUCUGGAUUAGAUAUCCUUUAUCCACUAGAUGUAAAUCGCUUAUUCAAAUAUUGUUAAUGCUCAAUUCAGAUCAUGCGAAACUUCGGUGGUUAAAUAUAUUUUAAUAUUGAAUAGUUUGGAUAGUAUGACUGUGAUAGUCUACACUCUACAUGUCCAAAAUGAUAAAAUGGUAUAUUUAAGUUUUCAUUAGCUUCAAUGAUAAAUAAGCUUUGAAGCAUUAUAAUGUUGAUGGCCUAACACAACUGAUGAAGUCAAAAGGCAUUUACUGGAGUUGUUUCCAUUCUGUAUGCUACUGCUAAGUAGUUAGACACUGACUACAUCUGCAAUCUUACCCCCUUCAUUGACAUUCAAGAUAUCUACUACAAUGUGAUAUCCACUUUGAAGAUUUAGCCAUUGUCAAUCCUGAAAACAUUCAGCCGCUGAUGACUCUUAUUUUGAAACAUACUGUGCAUUUGGUUAAAUUCAGUCUGGUAGCCACUCUGCCAGAAGUGUACGCCAUUGGCUAUGUAAUUACAACAGCACAAAGGCUCACAAUCUUGAUUAUGGGAAUAUGUGAUUUGGAGACAUCAGAUUUCUGAAAAUAUUAACUUCUUUUUUUGGUUAGCUUUUCAUGAUAUCCUUCCAGCCAAUGCAAUUUGAUUGUUCAGUCCUGUUGCAGAUGUGGUAAUCACUGAAACCAUUUUGCAUUGUCUUAAUGAAUGUCGAAGGGCUCAGCUUAAUUUAAUAAAAAAUCAUUUUUUUUAAGUAAACAAGAUCCCACUGUCAUCUUUGUUGCCUUUCUCACUGAGUUGGAAUCGUAUCCAUUUUUCAAAAGAAAUUGAGUUCCAUUACUGAAGUUUUUGGUAUAUAAAUGUAUAUAUUUUUGGAAAUGAUGACAUGUAUUUUGUAUAAUUGAACUUUUAUACACUCAAAAUUAGUAUCUACUUCUUUUGAGAAAUAGAGAGGACCCCUACCCUGUUAUUAUGUCUUUCAUCUCCUUGCAUUGGGAUCUUUCUUUGUGUUCACCCCUGCCAUCUAACUCUGAUAAACAUUUUUCAAUCUCUGAGAAGUAUAUAGCUAGUAAAAAAUAAAAAGAAAAGAAAGUUGAGGAUGGAAACUACUACUAAGUUCUAACUCUGAUACUUUGGAAAUGCAGGAGAAUUUCCAAUGAGACAAAUGGACUAUUUGGUACACACUGAAUUAGAUUUACUCACUUCACUCUUGUAUCAGAUACAUAUCAUAUUUGAUACUUGUAUCAUGUCUUUGUAUUAUAAUAGUUGAGAGAAGAGCAAAGAAGGGAAGAUUAUUGAAGAUAGUGAAGCAUGAUGAACAUUAGUAUCCAACAAGCUAUAAGGCACUUCGAUAAGCUGCUCAAGAGAACUAAUAAAAAUAAGGUAUAAACAGCUAUAGGCCAGUCA